rnacentral:rRNA from 1 species
GACGAACGCUGGCUGCGUGCUUAACACAUGCAAGUCGAACGGAAAGGCCCUGCUUUUGUGGGGUGCUCGAGUGGCGAACGGGUGAGUAACACGUGAGUAACCUGCCCUUGACUUUGGGAUAACUUCAGGAAACUGGGGCUAAUACCGGAUAGGAGCUCCUGCUGCAUGGUGGGGGUUGGAAAGUUUCGGCGGUUGGGGAUGGACUCGCGGCUUAUCAGCUUGUUGGUGGGGUAGUGGCUUACCAAGGCUUUGACGGGUAGCCGGCCUGAGAGGGUGACCGGCCACAUUGGGACUGAGAUACGGCCCAGACUCCUACGGGAGGCAGCAGUGGGGAAUAUUGCACAAUGGGCGGAAGCCUGAUGCAGCAACGCCGCGUGCGGGAUGACGGCCUUCGGGUUGUAAACCGCUUUCGCCUGUGACGAAGCGUGAGUGACGGUAAUGGGUAAAGAAGCACCGGCUAACUACGUGCCAGCAGCCGCGGUGAUACGUAGGGUGCGAGCGUUGUCCGGAUUUAUUGGGCGUAAAGGGCUCGUAGGUGGUUGAUCGCGUCGGAAGUGUAAUCUUGGGGCUUAACCCUGAGCGUGCUUUCGAUACGGGUUGACUUGAGGAAGGUAGGGGAGAAUGGAAUUCCUGGUGGAGCGGUGGAAUGCGCAGAUAUCAGGAGGAACACCAGUGGCGAAGGCGGUUCUCUGGGCCUUUCCUGACGCUGAGGAGCGAAAGCGUGGGGAGCGAACAGGCUUAGAUACCCUGGUAGUCCACGCUGUAAACGGUGGGUACUAGGUGUGGGGUCCACUCCACGGGUUCCGUGCCGUAGCUAACGCUUUAAGUACCCCGCCUGGGGAGUACGGCCGCAAGGCUAAAACUCAAAGGAAUUGACGGGGCCCCGCACAAGCGGCGGAGCAUGCGGAUUAAUUCGAUGCAACGCGUAGAACCUUACCUGGGUUUGACAUGGAUCGGGAGUGCUCAGAGAUGGGUGUGCCUCUUUUGGGGUCGGUUCACAGGUGGUGCAUGGCUGUCGUCAGCUCGUGUCGUGAGAUGUUGGGUUAAGUCCCGCAACGAGCGCAACCCUUGUUCACUGUUGCCAGCACGUUAUGGUGGGGACUCAGUGGAGACCGCCGGGGUCAACUCGGAGGAAGGUGGGGAUGACGUCAAGUCAUCAUGCCCCUUAUGUCCAGGGCUUCACGCAUGCUACAAUGGCUGGUACAGAGAGUGGCGAGCCUGUGAGGGUGAGCGAAUCUCGGAAAGCCGGUCUCAGUUCGGAUUGGGGUCUGCAACUCGACCUCAUGAAGUCGGAGUCGCUAGUAAUCGCAGAUCAGCAACGCUGCGGUGAAUACGUUCCCGGGGCU